UAAAUGGCAGUUACUCUGCCUGGUGAAGAGAAAAAAACAACUGGACCAAAAGGGAGGAAAGAAGAAACUCUUCCAAGUGUUAAUAAAUUGUAUGAAUACAACAAGAGGUGGGCAACUGAUGAGGGAGGAAUAUGGACAAAGAAAGACCUGAAAUUCACAGCCCACCAAACGCUGCUGCUCUCUUCGGUCCCGGCUUCAAGUCUUGCAGCUCUGAAGGAAGCCUCUUCCUAUCAUCCUGAAAGUUCCCAAAGGGUUGCACUGGAUUUCCUCUGCAAGGGUGGCUGAGGGUUCACCCAGAUCAGGCAACAGCUGCUCCCCCAUUCAUUUGUCAAGCUAGUCAUUUGAAAUGAGAAAUAUCUAGUGGGCAGUUCAAUGAAGCAAAGUGGGGCUGGGCAUCCUUUAAAAAGCUGCAAGAUGUCAUCUUAAAUUAAAACGCAUGGAUUACUUCCAUAAGAAAGAGGUUCUCACAUUUUGUGGGUCCAGAACCAACCACCUUCUUAAGCAGGACUGCCUUUUUUCAGCGCCUUGGCAUUAUUUUACUGGCUCGGUAUUAAACGUUGUAUGUCUAUAAUUUGCUUGUGACACGAAUAAAGAAAGAUCACCUUGGCAUCACAA